rnacentral:rRNA from 1 species
GAGUUUGAUCCUGGCUCAGGACGAACGCUGGCGGCGUGCUUAACACAUGCAAGUCGCACGAGGACGGGAGCUUGCUCCCGAGCCGAGUGGCGGACGGGUGAGUAACACGUGACCAACCUGUCCUAGGGUGAGGGACAACCUGGGGAAACCCGGGCUAAUACCGCAUGACGUCUCGAGGUCGCAUGGCCAUGAGAUCAAAGAGGGCCUCUGCUUGCAAGCUCUCGCCCUGGGAGGGGGUCGCGGCGUAUCAGCUAGUUGGUGAGGUAACGGCUCACCAAGGCUACGACGCGUAGCGGGUCUGAGAGGACGACCCGCCUCAUUGGGACUGAGAUACGGCCCAGACUCCUACGGGAGGCAGCAGUGGGGAAUAUUGCGCAAUGGACGAAAGUCUGACGCAGCGACGCCGCGUGUGGGAGGAAGCCUUUCGGGGUGUAAACCACUGUCAGGAGGGAAGAAACUCGCCGGCCCGAACAGGAACGGCGAUUGACGGUACCUCCAAAGGAA